UACCAGCUCUCCGAGUGGUAGGGAUGAUUAUUGGGCUUAAAGCGUCCGUAGCCGGCUUAGCAAGUCUCCUGUUAAGUUCAGCGACCUAAUCGUUGAGCCGCGGGAGAUACUACUAGGCUAGGAGGCGGGAGAGGUCAACGGUACUUCCGGGGUAGAGGUGAAAUCCUAUAAUCCCGGGAGGACCACCAGUGGCGAAGGCUGUUGACUAGAACGCGCUCGACGGUGAGGGACGAAAGCGUGGGGGAGCGAACCGGAUUAGAUACCCGGGUAGUCCCAGCUGUAAACGAUGCGAGCUAGGUGUUGGGGUGGCUACGUGCCACUUCAGUGCCGCAGGGAAGCCAUUAAGCUCGCCGCCUGGGGAGUACGGCCGCAAGGCUGAAACUUAAGGAAUUGGCGGGGGAGCACCACAAGGCGUGAAGCUUGCGGUUC
rnacentral:rRNA from 1 species